CCAGGAUCCGCCCCUCUCCAGUACCUCAUUUAAGGGUUGGCAGUGAAGGUGAGGGUAUCUUGUUGGAGAUCUCUGAAUACUUGAGGCCUUCAAAAUUUGCUGAGUGUUCAAAUACUGAAAGAAAAUAUACCACUGUCUCUAGAGAUGCCGUGUCAACAAAAACUCCUUCCGCUGACAUGAUACAGCAUCUGUCUCACGAGCCAGAGAGAAAUUUGUCAUACAGGAUUUGGUGACACUGUUUGUGGAGCCAUUAGCAUGAUGGAACUCAACUCUCAGAUGUCAUCUGUGCACUUCGGAAGAUGAAGUACUUCAGCUUGUUGGGAAAUCAGUCUCAGGUACACAGGAAUCUCCAGCAAGAUACGCUUACCUCCACUGCCAACUCUUAAAUGACGUCUGGAAAGGGGAGGAUCCUGGCUACACCCCUUCUGAUCGCUCAGCUAAUGCCGAAGAAACUACAACAACUAUCUUUAUUUGUAACCCAUUCUCCGUGUACAAAAUAAAACAGAACUCUGCAGAUUCUUCCACUCAUCUCUUAAUACCAGACAGUACUACUUCCUUUCACACAGAAGCAAUGGAGUAUAGUGCAUGGGAAAGAAAACUCC